CACGGAUAGGAGUGGGAGUAGACUGCUUCCUUUGGAUUUUGCUUUCUUUUGAGCUGAAAAAGGAAAAAUACUGCAACGUUUGAAUGUCUCAACAUUUUCCUCAAAGUUAAAGCCACGGAGAUGAACAGAUUUUCCAAAUUCGACCCAUUCUUUAAGUCCCCUUACAUGCCCUGAUGAUGAGGUGAACACAAACCAGAUGAAUGAGCAGUAGGAGCACAGAGGCUGCCUGCCUGAGGCUACCCUUUUGAAGGACCACUUGAAGACAGCUGAGUGCUGGCCAGGUGAUGAAUAGAGAAGGGUGUUCUCCAUCAAAGAUCGUUUAUUAAAAUGCAAAUAAACUUCAGACUGAAGGUCCAUUUGAGCACUGAAAAUUGACAGAGAAUAUUAAAUUUGGUCAGAAGAACAGAGGAGCUGAAUUCUUUUCUGGGGGGAGCCAACAUCAUCCUGCAUCACAAACACUGCUCACUCCUCUCACUGAGAGACAUUUAUUGGUGGCUUAUGGUACUGCCCCAAACUCUGUGCAACCAGAGCGGACAUUUCCCAUGCCAGGUCUCUUUCCUCUUUGGAAAAGUUCAGUCAGACCAGGCCAGCCACUUCUGAGGAAGAAAUAAAAGCUAAAAUGUUAAGUGAAAUAGCAGGUUAAUAAGAUUUCAGUAAAAACUGACAGUGAAAGUAAAAAUGUUGCCAAGUUCACAAGGACCUUUUCUGGAACAUCCUGGGAUAUUUGGGAGCCCCCACCUCUGCCUGUGGGAUCUGUGCUGAGGAGAACUCAAGGCUGGGCUGGGCUUCGCUUCACACCUGACCACAUCUGAAACACCAGUGGCCUGAUGAUCUGGGCAAGGACCUCUCAAGCCCAGCAGGGAGACUCUGAAGUACCACAGACUUCACACAGUGCUUGACUACAAAACACUACCAAGGGCUGCAGGUGAGGCUGGACAAGCCCAUGGAAGAGGGAUCUCUGGAGACUUGCUCUGUAGCAAUGGCACUCGCUUGUGCUGAGCAUGGAUGGAGUUUGGGAAGGUCUUCUGGAAGAGCUGGCCUCCCCACACACCUCGAGUCUACCCACAUGCCAAGUCCCAUGGGGCCUGGAUCUGCUCCUUGGCAGGUUGCUCUUGCUGGAGUGGGGAUUUUCCCCUCUGUCCCCUGAUCUCAGCAGUCCUCCACUGAAGGCACCACAGAGAACACAUCCCAACUGAAUGGUGGUCAUCAAGCCUGGUCCCUGCUGCUGUAGUUCAGCUUUGUGGCAAAGCCUUCAGGGCCUCUUCAGUGUGA